UGAGGAAUCUUGCGCAAUGGGGGAAACCCUGACGCAGCAACGCCGCGUGAGUGAGGAAGGCCUUCGGGUCGUAAAGCUCUGUCAGAUGGGAAGAAAUGGGUGGGGGCUAAUAUCGUCCAUCCUUGACGGUACCAUCAGAGGAAGCACCGGCUAACUCCGUGCCAGCAGCCGCGGUAAUACGGGGGGUGCAAGCGUUGUUCGGAAUCAUUGGGCGUAAAGCGCGCGCAGGCGGCUUGGUAAGUCAGAGGUGAAAUCCCUGGGCUUAACCCAGGAAGUGCGUGUGAUACUGCCUCGCUAGAGUACGGGAGAGGAAAAUGGAAUUCCUGGUGUAGAGGUGAAAUUCGUAGAUAUCAGGAGGAACACCGGUGGCGAAGGCGACUUUCUGGCCCGAUACUGACGCUCAGGCGCGAAAGCGUGGGGAGCGAACAG
rnacentral:rRNA from 1 species